rnacentral:rRNA from 1 species
UCAGUUCGGAUCGGAGUCUGCAACCCGACUCCGUGAAGCUGGAUUCGCUAGUAAUCGCGCAUCAGCCAUGGCGCGGUGAAUACGUUCCCGGGCCUUGUACACACCGCCCGUCAAGCCAUGGGAGCCGGGNGCGCUUGAAGUGCGUCGCCGCGAGGCGCGCCCUAGAGCGAGACCGGUGACUGGGGCUAAGUCGUAACAAGGUAAC